rnacentral:sRNA from 1 species
AUAAGAGUUUAGGAAAUAAUUAAAAGCAUAAACUUAUUGUUUAUUACAGGCAUGUUACAUGGAAUUGGAAAAUUUAUAGUUGAAAUAAUUUGCUGUCGUUUCAGACUUGGAUCCUAUAAACCUGUCAGUUCUGUUCCUUUUGAGGAUGGCCACACAGACAACCACUUACCUCUUUUAGAAAAUAAUACACAUUAACACCUCCCGAUUGAAGGAGAAAAACUUUUUGCCUGAGACAUAAAACCUUUUUUUAAUAAUAAAAUAUUGUGCAAUAUAUUCAAAGAAAAGAAAACACAAAUAAGCAGAAAACAUACUUAUUUU